GGGUUGUGAGGUUAAGCGACUAAGCGUACACGGUGGAUGCCCUGGCAGUCAGAGGCGAUGAAGGACGUGCUAAUCUGCGAUAAGCGUCGGUAAGGUGAUAUGAACCGUUAUAACCGGCGAUUUCCGAAUGGGGAAACCCAGUGUGAUCCGUCACACUAUCAUUACGUGAAUACAUAGCGUAAUGAAGCGAACCGGGGGAACUGAAACAUCUAAGUACCCCGAGGAAAAGAAAUCAACCGAGAUUCCCCCAGUAGCGGCGAGCGAACGGGGAGCAGCCCAGAGUCUGAAUCAGCUUGUGUGUUAGUGGAACGGUCUGGAAAGUCCGACGGUACAGGGUGAUAGUCCCGUACACCAAAAUGCACAGGUUGUGAACUCGAAGAGUAGGGCGGGACACGUGGUAUCCUGUCUGAAUAUGGGGGGACCAUCCUCCAAGGCUAAAUACUCCUGACUGACCGAUAGUGAACCAGUACCGUGAGGGAAAGGCGAAAAGAACCCCGGCGAGGGGAGUGAAAAAGAACCUGAAACCGUGUACGUACAAGCAGUGGGAGCAUCCUUUUGGGUGUGACUGCGUACCUUUUGUAUAAUGGGUCAGCGACUUAUAUUCUGUAGCAAGGUUAACCGUAUAGGGGAGCCGAAGGGAAACCGAGUCUUAACUGGGCGUUAAGUUGCAGGGUAUAGACCCGAAACCCGGUGAUCUAGCCAUGGGCAGGUUGAAGGUUGGGUAACACUAACUGGAGGACCGAACCGACUAAUGUUGAAAAAUUAGCGGAUGACUUGUGGCUGGGGGUGAAAGGCCAAUCAAACCGGGAGAUAGCUGGUUCUCCCCGAAAGCUAUUUAGGUAGCGCCUCGUGAAUUCAUCUUCGGGGGUAGAGCACUGUUUCGGCUAGGGGGUCAUCCCGACUUACCAACCCGAUGCAAACUGCGAAUACCGAAGAAUGUUAUCACGGGAGACACACGGCGGGUGCUAACGUCCGUCGUGAAGAGGGAAACAACCCAGACCGCCAGCUAAGGUCCCAAAGUCAUGGUUAAGUGGGAAACGAUGUGGGAAGGCACAGACAGCCAGGAUGUUGGCUUAGAAGCAGCCAUCAUUUAAAGAAAGCGUAAUAGCUCACUGGUCGAGUCGGCCUGCGCGGAAGAUGUAACGGGGCUAAACCAUGCACCGAAGCUGCGGCAGCGACACUAUGUGUUGUUGGGUAGGGGAGCGUUCUGUAAGCCGUUGAAGGUGUGCUGUGAGGCAUGCUGGAGGUAUCAGAAGUGCGAAUGCUGACAUAAGUAACGAUAAUGCGGGUGAAAAACCCGCACGCCGGAAGACCAAGGGUUCCUGUCCAACGUUAAUCGGGGCAGGGUGAGUCGACCCCUAAGGCGAGGCCGAAAGGCGUAGUCGAUGGGAAACAGGUUAAUAUUCCUGUACUUGGUGUUACUGCGAAGGGGGGACGGAGAAGGCUAUGUUAGCCGGGCGACGGUUGUCCCGGUUUAAGCAUGUAGGCGGAGGUUCCAGGUAAAUCCGGUACCUUUUUAACGCUGAGGUGUGAUGACGAGGCACUACGGUGCUGAAGUAACAAAUGCCCUGCUUCCAGGAAAAGCCUCUAAGCAUCAGGUAACACGAAAUCGUACCCCAAACCGACACAGGUGGUCAGGUAGAGAAUACCAAGGCGCUUGAGAGAACUCGGGUGAAGGAACUAGGCAAAAUGGUGCCGUAACUUCGGGAGAAGGCACGCUGAUAUGUAGGUGAAGUGAUUUACUCAUGGAGCUGAAAUCAGUCGAAGAUACCAGCUGGCUGCAACUGUUUAUUAAAAACACAGCACUGUGCAAACACGAAAGUGGACGUAUACGGUGUGACGCCUGCCCGGUGCCGGAAGGUUAAUUGAUGGGGUUAUCCGUAAGGAGAAGCUCUUGAUCGAAGCCCCGGUAAACGGCGGCCGUAACUAUAACGGUCCUAAGGUAGCGAAAUUCCUUGUCGGGUAAGUUCCGACCUGCACGAAUGGCGUAAUGAUGGCCAGGCUGUCUCCACCCGAGACUCAGUGAAAUUGAACUCGCUGUGAAGAUGCAGUGUACCCGCGGCAAGACGGAAAGACCCCGUGAACCUUUACUAUAGCUUGACACUGAACACUGGUCCUUGAUGUGUAGGAUAGGUGGGAGGCUUUGAAGUGUGGACGCCAGUCUGCAUGGAGCCAUCCUUGAAAUACCACCCUUUAAUGGCUGGUGUUCUAACGUGGACCCGUAAUCCGGGUUGCGGACAGUGUCUGGUGGGUAGUUUGACUGGGGCGGUCUCCUCCUAAAGAGUAACGGAGGAGCACGAAGGUUAGCUAAUCCUGGUCGGACAUCAGGAGGUUAGUGCAAAGGCAUAAGCUAGCUUGACUGCGAGAGUGACGGCUCGAGCAGGUGCGAAAGCAGGUCUUAGUGAUCCGGUGGUUCUGAAUGGAAGGGCCAUCGCUCAACGGAUAAAAGGUACUCCGGGGAUAACAGGCUGAUACCGCCCAAGAGUUCAUAUCGACGGCGGUGUUUGGCACCUCGAUGUCGGCUCAUCACAUCCUGGGGCUGAAGUAGGUCCCAAGGGUAUGGCUGUUCGCCAUUUAAAGUGGUACGCGAGCUGGGUUUAGAACGUCGUGAGACAGUUCGGUCCCUAUCUGCCGUGGGCGCUGGAGAAUUGAGGGGGGCUGCUCCUAGUACGAGAGGACCGGAGUGGACGCAUCACUGGUGUUCGGGUUGUCAUGCCAAUGGCAUUGCCCGGUAGCUAAAUGCGGAAGAGAUAAGUGCUGAAAGCAUCUAAGCACGAAACUUGCCCCGAGAUGAGUUCUCCCUGACUCCUUGAGAGUCCUGAAGGAACGUUAAAGACGAUGACGUUGAUAGGUCGGGUGUGUAAGUGUAGCGAUACAUUGAGCUAACCGAUACUAAUGAACCGUGAGGCUUAACCUUACAACGCCGAAG
rnacentral:rRNA from 1 species